rnacentral:rRNA from 1 species
AAGGGUGUGCAACUCAGGAGGGAAACACCCGGUCCCAUUCCGAACCCGGAAGUUAAGCCUCUCAGCGCCGAUGGUACUGCACACGGGAGUGUGUGGGAGACUAGGACAUUGCCGGAC